rnacentral:rRNA from 1 species
UACGAAGGGGGCUAGCGUUGCUCGGAAUUACUGGGCGUAAAGCGCACGUAGGCGGAUUGUUAAGUCGGGGGUGAAAUCCUGGAGCUCAACUCCAGAACUGCCUUCGAAACUGGCGAUCUUGAGUUCGGGAGAGGUGAGUGGAACUGCGAGUGUAGAGGUGAAAUUCGUAGAUAUUCGGAAGAACACCAGUGGCGAAGGCGACUUACUGGACACAUAUUGACGCUGAGGUGCGAAAGCGUGGGGAGCAAACAGG